rnacentral:lncRNA from 1 species
AGGACGACUAGGAAUCGGCCAACAAGGAUUCCUCAACGUGUUUCUGGAGCGGAGGCGAGCUGGUAGAGGAGCCAUGAAUCUGGAGGAUGACCAUCACUCUACCAACAAGGAUUGUAAGUUUGUAUUAACCAAACAUAAUAAAGGGCUUAAAAAUAAGACAAACUAGAUGUUUGUUACCAGACUUUAGGGCCAGACUCACGCUGUUUGUUCCAGACCAGGACUCUGGCUGAGGAGAGCUGAUGGAGGAGCCAAGACUCUGGAGGAUGACAUCACUCCACCAACCAGGAUCCUCACCAGGAAUCUGGAGGACUGAUGGAGCAGCUGUACAUCUGGAAGGCAAAUCCUGAGGAUCACCAGGACUCUACCAUCAAGGAUGCCUCACACACCUGAGCUGAACCUCACCUGAUCCUGUGUGGUCGGGGGUAGACACACCUGAGCUAAACCCGCCCUGAUCCUGCCAGCCUGCUGGUCCCAUCUCCUCAGUUCAUCUGAGCCUCGUCCUCCAGAAGACCUGCUG